UGCAAGUCGAACGUGAAAGUCCUUCGGGGCGAGUAAAGUGGCGCACGGGUGAGUAACGCGUGGAUAAUCUACCCUUAAGAUGGGGAUAACGGCUGGAAACGGUCGCUAAUACCGAAUACGCUCCCGAUUUUAUCAUUGGGGGGAAAGAUGGCCUCUGCUUGCAAGCUAUCGCUUAAGGAUGAGUCCGCGUCCCAUUAGCUAGUUGGCGGGGUAACGGCCCACCAAGGCAACGAUGGGUAGCCGGUCUGAGAGGAUGACCGGCCACACUGGAACUGGAACACGGUCCAGACUCCUACGGGAGGCAGCAGUGGGGAAUAUUGCGCAAUGGGCGAAAGCCUGACGCAGCGACGCCGCGUGAGGGAUGAAGGUUCUCGGAUCGUAAACCUCUGUCAGGGGGGAAGAAACCCCCUCGUGUGAAUAAUGCGAGGGCUUGACGGUACCCCCAAAGGAAGCACCGGCUAACUCCGUGCCAGCAGCCGCGGUAAUACGGAGGGUGCAAGCGUUAAUCGGAAUCACUGGGCGUAAAGCGCACGUAGGCGGCUUGGUAAGUCAGGGGUGAAAUCCCACAGCCCAACUGUGGAACUGCCUUUGAUACUGCCAGGCUUGAGUACCGGAGAGGGUGGCGGAAUUCCAGGUGUAGGAGUGAAAUCCGUAGAUAUCUGGAGGAACACCGGUGGCGAAGGCGGCCACCUGGACGGUAACUGACGCUGAGGUGCGAAAGCGUGGGUAGCAAACAGGAUUAGAUACCCUGGUAGUCCACGCUG
rnacentral:rRNA from 1 species